UGCCCUGACAGGAGCUGCCGCUGCGCCCGCCGGCGCCCUUGACGCAGCGCCCCUCAUGCCGCCUCGAGAGGCGUUGGGGGGCAGCGAGACUCUGCCGGGCCCCGCCCCUCACUCUGCGCUCGGCUUCAGGGCUGUCUUGCGAGGGGGCGGUGGGAAAAGGCUCUGAGGAGAACCUCGCUCGCUGUCCCGCAUCGCUUUUCCUCACGUCGUUUUCCCUUUCCCUUGAGGGGACGGGGAGGUGAAGGGAGCCCGCCUUCCUCCUCGCACGUGGCGAGUCGUCGGUGGAGGACCUUUGAGGACUUGGGCAGUUACUGAAAUUUAGCCGUUGUAGCAGCAGGAGAAGAAAACCACAACCUCCUCAGGGGAAAUGCCAUGAAGGAAGACCCUUUUCACCUUGCUCCCUAUGGGAAGCAUGGUUACAGAGAGUGUCCCAAAUCGUCUAAAGCGCUGAAUGUUGGGCCUCCCCCCACAAUCCCCCAAAGUCAGAAAGAGAAGCCACAGAGGGAUUCACAAUUAGAGGAAGCCAACUACAUUGCACUCUGAAGCACAUUUAGUCAGAAGAAAACCACGCUGUGCUCCGCAA